AGUGAACGCUGGCGGUAGGCCUAACACAUGCAAGUCGAACGGCAGCACAGUAAGAGCUUGCUCUUACGGGUGGCGAGUGGCGGACGGGUGAGGAAUACAUCGGAAUCUACUUUUUCGUGGGGGAUAACGUAGGGAAACUUACGCUAAUACCGCAUACGACCUACGGGUGAAAGCAGGGGAUCUUCGGACCUUGCGCGAAUGAAUGAGCCGAUGUCGGAUUAGCUAGUUGGCGGGGUAAAGGCCCACCAAGGCGACGAUCCGUAGCUGGUCUGAGAGGAUGGUCGGCCACCCUGGAACUGAGACACGGUCCAGACUCCUACGGGAGGCAGCAGAGGGGAAUAUUGGACAAUGGGCGUAAGCCUGAUCCAGCCAUACCGCGUGGGUGAAGAAGGCCUUCGGGUUGUAAAGACCUUUUGUUGGGAAAGAAAAGCAGCAGGUUAAUACCCCGCUGUUCUGACGGUACCCAAAGAAUAAGCACCGGCUAACUUCGUG
rnacentral:rRNA from 1 species